rnacentral:lncRNA from 1 species
GCCUCUAAGACCUGAGACUGCCAUUCCUCAACAGCCCUGCUUGUCUCAGUGAGCAUUGGAUUAGAACCAGGGAAAGAAAAAAAAUUGGAGAAAGACAAAGCUGUGUGACAACAUGCAGCCCUCGAUCUCACUACCCUCAGAGGUCCAAGAUUCUCUCUUCUACCCUUUCAUCCUUCCCCAGAGUUAAUGACUUCAAAGAAAUGUGACACUACCGCCAGG